GGUAGAAUGAUUGAGCAAAGCAUUAGACUGUAAAUCUGAAGACAGAGUUUUAGUUCUUUUUUUACCA
rnacentral:tRNA from 1 species